rnacentral:rRNA from 1 species
GACAGAGGUGCCAAGCGUUAGGCGGAAUCACUGGGCUUAAAGCGUGUGUAGGCGGAAUUCUAAGUACCUUGUGAAAUCCCACGGCUCAACCGUGGAACUGCUGGGUAUACUGGUUUUCUUGAGCCACUUAGGGGCUGUCGGAACAAAUGGUGGAGCGGUGAAAUGCGUAGAUAUCAUUUGGAACGCCAACGGUGAAAACAGACAGCUGGGAGUGUGCUGACGCUGAGACACGAAAGCCAGGGGAGCGAACGGG